rnacentral:rRNA from 1 species
UACGUAGGGUGCAAGCGUUAAUCGGAAUUACUGGGCGUAAAGCGUGCGCAGGCGGUUAUUUAAGUCAGGUGUGAAAGCCCUGGGCUUAACCUAGGAAUUGCGCUUGAGACUGGAUAGCUUGGAGUGCGGCAGAGGGAGGUGGAAUUCCACGUGUAGCAGUGAAAUGCGUAGAGAUGUGGAGGAACACCGAUGGCGAAGGCAGCCUCCUGGGCCAGCACUGACGCUCAUGCACGAAAGCGUGGGGAGCAACAGG